UAUGGAGCUUAAGGCGCCAGAACAGCUCACGUCAAACACCCCCGCAUAAAGGGAAUAAACCAAGUGGACCCUGCUCUAGUGUCUUUGGUUGGGGCGACCGCGGGGAAAAAUUAAACCCCCAUGUGGAACAGGAACACUAUAUUCCUUAAUCCAAGAGCUCCCGCUCUAAUAAACAGAACUUCUGACCAACAAGAUCCGGCAACGCCGAUCAACGGACCGAGUUACCCUA
rnacentral:rRNA from 1 species